GCUGGCGGCGCUGCCUUACACAUGCAAGUCGUAACGCUGAAAACACUUUCGGGUGUGGAUGAGUGGCGAACGGGUGAGUAGCACGUGGGUAAUCUGCCCUGCACUCUGGGAUAAGCCUUGGAAACGGGGUCUAAUACCGGAUAUCACCAGUCCCUGCAUGGGGGUUGGUUGAAAGUUCUGGCGGUGCAGGAUGAACCCGCGGCCUAUCAGCUUGUUGGUGGGGUAAUGGCCUACCAAGGCGACGACGGGUAGCCGGCCUGAGAGGGUGACCGGCCACACUGGGACUGAGACACGGCCCAGACUCCUACGGGAGGCAGCAGUGGGGAAUAUUGCACAAUGGGCGCAAGCCUGAUGCAGCGACGCCGCGUGAGGGAUGACGGCCUUCGGGUUGUAAACCUCUUUCGCCAGGGACGAAGCGCAAGUGACGGUACCUGGAUAAGAAGCACCGGCUAACUACGUGCCAGCAGCCGCGGUAAUACGUAGGGUGCGAGCGUUGUCCGGAAUUAUUGGGCGUAAAGAGCUCGUAGGCGGUUUGUCGCGUCGACUGUGAAAUCUGGAGGCUUAACCUUCAGCGUGCAGUCGAUACGGGCAGACUUGAGUUC
rnacentral:rRNA from 1 species